AAUACUGAACAGAGGCUAUGGACCUCACUUGCGCCCUAAGCCCAUUGAAGUGUUGUUUGCAUUCCAAAUCCGAUUAUGCACCUCCUUGCUCCUUUGUUUUCAUAUUUGUUUUAUUUUAUUGUUUUUUUCUUUGUUCUUUAUUUUAUUUUUAUGCUAUUAUUUUAUUAUUUUGUUUUUUUUUUCUAUUUUGUCAAUACUUUAAUUUGAUUUAAUCUCUAAUAAAAAUUAACAU
rnacentral:lncRNA from 1 species